rnacentral:tRNA from 1 species
GGUUCUAUCGUCUAGUGGUUAGGACAUUGGUUUCUGAUACCAGUAACGAGGGUUCGAACCCCUCUAGGACCU